rnacentral:rRNA from 1 species
UGGGGAAUAUUGGACAAUGGGCGCAAGCCUGAUCCAGCAAUGCCGCGUGAGUGAUGAAGGCCUUAGGGUUGUAAAGCUCUUUCGCACGCGACGAUGAUGACGGUAGCGUGAGAAGAAGCCCCGGCUAACUUCGUGCCAGCAGCCGCGGUAAUACGAAGGGGGCUAGCGUUGUUCGGAAUUACUGGGCGUAAAGGGCGCGUAGGCGGCCUGUUUAGUCAGAAGUGAAAGCCCCGGGCUCAACCUGGGAAUAGCUUUUGAUACUGGCAGGCUUGAGUUCCGGAGAGGAUGGUGGAAUUCCCAGUGUAGAGGUGAAAUUCGUAGAUAUUGGGAAGAACACCGGUGGCGAAGGCGGCCAUCUGGACGGACACUGACGCUGAGGCGCGAAAGCGUGGGGAGCAAACAGGAUUAGAUACCCUGGUAGUCCACGCCGUAAACGAUGAACGCUAGACGUCGGGGUGCAUGCACUUCGGUGUCGCCGCUAACGCAUUAAGCAUUCCGCCUGGGGAGUACGGCCGCAAGGUUAAAACUCAAAGGAAUUGACGGGGUC